rnacentral:lncRNA from 1 species
UUUUUUACUACAAAAUGAAGUUCAACUGUAAGCCGCCGAAGUUUAACGUUGGUGUUUGUUUCCUAAUCUACUUGAUGAAAAAUAUUGGAUCAUACGAACCACUGGUAGUUGUCGUUGAGGUGACAGCAGGGUCUGCAUAACUAGAUGUUGGUCUGUGGUCCGAGGACAGUGAUGAUAAGGACUGGUCACACAAUCACCGGCUAUUGGACUCGUGACUUCUUCCUCUUCUUCCGGGAUGGUAUAAACUUCGCCCGGACUGUGAUCGUAGACUGGUUCUAAAAUUGAUGGUUUCGACUCUUUGACCGUGUAUGACUGUGAUGUUGGCACCGACCCACUUAAAUCUUUCAGAGAACUGUCUGACGAAUAGUUUUGGGACCGGUUUUCCAAAUAAGAACUCACAUCACUGUCAGUUUCAGGGUUCAACCCAGACGAAGACAUGGAGAUGCUUGCUAUCAGCGUGUAAAUCAUAUCAACCGCUCUUCAUUUGUAUUGCUGAGCAUUAAAGUGUUCCCCAUCUAAAACUUAUUAAGUAAACUUUCUAGAGAUUUCUUGUGAGAAAAUUUGGUCUCCAGUCUCCAAAAGUUUGGAUUUUUUUCUCAGUAAAUGGCAUAUGUAAAAGAAAAAAUCUCUUGGACAUUUCUCAAAAUGUAUGGUUCGUCAGUUCAUUACUGAAAAGUUAUUUUUAUUUACCGUUGUUUUCAUAGAAUUACAAUGUUUCUGAUAAUUAGUUAAUAUUUA